AACGAACGCUGGCGGCAUGCCUAACACAUGCAAGUCGAACGAGACCUUCGGGUCUAGUGGCGCACGGGUGCGUAACGCGUGGGAACCUGCCCUUAGGUUCGGAAUAACUCCCCGAAAGGGGUGCUAAUACCGGAUAAUGUCUUCGGACCAAAGAUUUAUCGCCUUUGGAUGGGCCCGCGUUGGAUUAGCUAGUUGGUAGGGUAAAAGCCUACCAAGGCGACGAUCCAUAGUUGGUCUGAGAGGAUGAUCAGCCACACUGGGACUGAGACACGGCCCAGACUCCUACGGGAGGCAGCAGUGGGGAAUAUUGGACAAUGGGCGAAAGCCUGAUCCAGCAAUGCCGCGUGAGUGAUGAAGGCCUUAGGGUUGUAAAGCUCUUUUACCCGGGAUGAUAAUGACAGUACCGGGAGAAUAGGCUCCGGCUAACUCCGUG
rnacentral:rRNA from 1 species